rnacentral:rRNA from 1 species
AGUGAACGCUGGCGGUAGGCCUAACACAUGCAAGUCGAACGGCAGCACAGUAAGAGCUUGCUCUUACGGGUGGCGAGUGGCGGACGGGUGAGGAAUACAUCGGAAUCUACUUUUUCGUGGGGGAUAACGUAGGGAAACUUACGCUAAUACCGCAUACGACCUACGGGUGAAAGCAGGGGACCUUCGGACCUUGCGCGAUUGAAUGAGCCGAUGUCGGAUUAGCUAGUUGGCGGGGUAAAGGCCCACCAAGGCGACGAUCCGUAGCUGGUCUGAGAGGAUGAUCAGCCACACUGGAACUGAGACACGGUCCAGACUCCUACGAGAGGCAGCAGUGGGGAAUAUUGGACAAUGGGCGCAAGCCUGAUCCAGCCAUACCGCGUGGGUGAAGAAGGCCUUCGGGUUGUAAAGCCCUUUUGUUGGGAAAGAAAAGCAGCAGGUUAAUACCCCGCUGUUCUGACGGUACCCAAAGAAUAAGCACCGGCUAACUUCGUG